GCUAUACAUGCAAGUCGAACGAACUCUGGUAUUGAUUGGUGCUUGCAUCAUGAUUUACAUUUGAGUGAGUGGCGAACUGGUGAGUAACACGUGGGAAACCUGCCCAGAAGCGGGGGAUAACACCUGGAAACAGAUGCUAAUACCGCAUAACAACUUGGACCGCAUGGUCCGAGUUUGAAAGAUGGCUUCGGCUAUCACUUUUGGAUGGUCCCGCGGCGUAUUAGCUAGAUGGUGNGGUAACGGCUCACCAUGGCAAUGAUACGUAGCCGACCUGAGAGGGUAAUCGGCCACAUUGGGACUGAGACACGGCCCAAACUCCUACGGGAGGCAGCAGUAGGGAAUCUUCCACAAUGGACGAAAGUCUGAUGGAGCAACGCCGCGUGAGUGAAGAAGGGUUUCGGCUCGUAAAACUCUGUUGUUAAAGAAGAACAUAUCUGAGAGUAACUGUUCAGGUAUUGACGGUAUUUAACCAGAAAGCCACGGCUAACUACGUGCCAGCAGCCGCGGUAAUACGUAGGUGGCAAGCGUUGUCCGGAUUUAUUGGGCGUAAAGCGAGCGCAGGCGGUUUUUUAAGUCUGAUGUGAAAGCCUUCGGCUCAACCGAAGAAGUGCAUCGGAAACUGGGAAACUUGAGUGCAGAAGAGGACAGUGGAACUCCAUGUGUAGCGGUGAAAUGCGUAGAUAUAUGGAAGAACACCAGUGGCGAACGCGGCUGUCUGGUCUGUAACUGACGCUGAGGCUCGAAAGUAUGGGUAGCAAACAGGAUUAGAUACCCUGGUAGUCCAUACCGUAAACGAUGAAUGCUAAGUGUUGGAGGGUUUCCGCCCUUCAGUGCUGCAGCUAACGCAUUAAGCAUUCCGCCUGGGGAGUACGGCCGCAAGGCUGAAACUCAAAGGAAUUGACGGGGGCCCGCACAAGCGGUGGAGCAUGUGGUUUAAUUCGAAGCUACGCGAAGAACCUUACCAGGUCUUGACAUACUAUGCAAAUCUAAGAGAUUAGACGUUCCCUUCGGGGACAUGGAUACAGGUGGUGCAUGGUUGUCGUCAGCUCGUGUCGUGAGAUGUUGGGUUAAGUCCCGCAACGAGCGCAACCCUUAUUAUCAGUUGCCAGCAUUAAGUUGGGCACUCUGGUGAGACUGCCGGUGACAAACCGGAGGAAGGUGGGGAUGACGUCAAAUCAUCAUGCCCCUUAUGACCUGGGCUACACACGUGCUACAAUGGAUGGUACAACGAGUUGCGAACUCGCGAGAGUAAGCUAAUCUCUUAAAGCCAUUCUCAGUUCGGAUUGUAGGCUGCAACUCGCCUACAUGAAGUCGGAAUCGCUAGUAAUCGCGGAUCAGCAUGCCGCGGUGAAUACGUUCCCGGGCCUUGUACACACCGCCCGUCACACCAUGAGAGUUUGUAACACCCAAAGUCGGUGGGGUAACCUUUUAGGAACCAGCCGCCUAAUG
rnacentral:rRNA from 2 species